CAGGUUGAAGGUGCGGUAAAACGCACUGGAGGACCGAACCAGGGCACGUUGAAAAGUGCUUGGAUGACUUGUGGGUAGCGGAGAAAUUCCAAACGAACUUGGAGAUAGCUGGUUCUCUCCGAAAUAGCUUUAGGGCUAGCGUCGACAUUAAGAUUCUUGGAGGUAGAGCACUGUUUGGGUGAGGGGUCCAUCCCGGAUUACCAAUCUCAGAUAAACUCCGAAUGCCAAUGAAUUAUGGUCGGCAGUCAGACUGCGAGUGCUAAGAUCCGUAGUCGAAAGGGAAACAGCCCAGACCACCAGCUAAGGUCCCAAAAUAAUUGUUAAGUGGAAAAGGAUGUGGGGUUGCACAGACAACUAGGAUGUUAGCUUAGAAGCAGCUAUUCAUUCAAAGAGUGCGUAAUAGCUCACUAGUCGAGUGACCCUGCGCCGAAAAUGUACCGGGGCUAAAACAAUUUACCGAAGCUGUGGAUACCUUUAUAGGUAUGGUAGGAGAGCGUUCUAUGUGUGAUGAAGGUGUACCGUGAGGAGUGCUGGAACGCAUAGAAGUGAGAAUGCCGGUAUGAGUAGCGAAAGACAGGUGAGAAUCCUGUCCACCGUAAGACUAAGGUUUCCAGGGGAAGGCUCGUCCGCCCUGGGUUAGUCGGGACCUAAGGAGAGACCGAAAGGUGUAUCCGAUGGACAACAGGUUGAUAUUCCUGUACUAGAGUAUGUAGUGAUGGAGGGACGCAGUAGGCUAACUAAAGCAGACGAUUGGAAGUGUCUGUCUAAGCAGUGAGGUGUGAUAUGAGUCAAAUGCUUAUAUCUAUAACAUUGAGCUGUGAUGGGGAGCGAAGUUUAGUAGCGAAGUUAGUGAUGUCACACUGCCAAGAAAAGCUUCUAGCGAUGUAUCAUACUCUACCCGUACCGCAAACCGACACAGGUAGUCGAGGCGAGUAGCCUCAGGUGAGCGAGAGAACUCUCGUUAAGGAACUCGGCAAAAUGACCCCGUAACUUCGGGAGAAGGGGUGCUGACUUUACGUCAGCCGCAGUGAAUAGGCCCAAGCAACUGUUUAUCAAAAACACAGCUCUCUGCUAAAUCGUAAGAUGAUGUAUAGGGGGUGACGCCUGCCCGGUGCUGGAAGGUUAAGAGGAGUGCUUAGCGUAAGCGAAGGUAUGAAUUGAAGCCCCAGUAAACGGCGGCCGUAACUAUAACGGUCCUAAGGUAGCGAAAUUCCUUGUCGGGUAAGUUCCGACCCGCACGAAAGGCGUAAUGAUUUGGGCACUGUCUCAACGAGAGACUCGGUGAAAUUUUAGUACCUGUGAAGAUGCAGGUUACCCGCGACAGGACGGAAAGACCCCAUGGAGCUUUACUGCAGUUUGAUAUUGAGUGUCUGUACCACAUGUACAGGAUAGGUAGGAGUCUAUGAGAUCGGGACGCCAGUUUCGAAGGAGACGUUGUUGGGAUACUACCCUUGUGUUAUGGCCACUCUAACCCGGAUAGGUGAUCCCUAUCGGAGACAGUGUCUGACGGGCAGUUUGACUGGGGCGGUCGCCUCCUAAAAGGUAACGGAGGCGCCCAAAGGUUCCCUCAGAAUGGUUGGAAAUCAUUCGCAGAGUGUAAAGGUAUAAGGGAGCUUGACUGCGAGAGCUACAACUCGAGCAGGGACGAAAGUCGGGCUUAGUGAUCCGGUGGUUCCGUAUGGAAGGGCCAUCGCUCAACGGAUAAAAGCUACCCUGGGGAUAACAGGCUUAUCUCCCCCAAGAGUUCACAUCGACGGGGAGGUUUGGCACCUCGAUGUCGGCUCGUCGCAUCCUGGGGCUGUAGUCGGUCCCAAGGGUUGGGCUGUUCGCCCAUUAAAGCGGUACGCGAGCUGGGUUCAGAACGUCGUGAGACAGUUCGGUCCCUAUCCGUCGCGGGCGUAGGAAAUUUGAGAGGAUCUGCUCCUAGUACGAGAGGACCAGAGUGGACUUACCGCUGGUGUACCAGUUGUCUUGCCAAAGGCAUCGCUGGGUAGCUAUGUAGGGAAGGGAUAAACGCUGAAAGCAUCUAAGUGUGAAACCCACCUCAAGAUGAGAUUUCCCAUGAUUUU
rnacentral:rRNA from 1 species